AGCAAAAUCCUUAAGGGGAAAAUCAUGUCCAGGAACAGGAGAGAGGACUCAGCAGUCAGGAGUGCUUACUGCUAUUGCAGAGGCUCCAGAUAGCCAUGCCUUUGUGAGUUCCAUCACCUUUCAGCAUGGGCUGCACAGAGCUGCUAAUGAAGAGACACAGAAGCAAAAAUGAAAAGGAGGAGGAGGAAGAAGAGGAGAAAGGAGAAGGGAGAGGAGAGAGAAAAUAAAAAAAGAAAAGCCAGAUUGAUCACAACGUUCAAGAUGUUCAUCAAAAAGUACUGGGCAAUAAAGAAUGAACAAGACUGUGUCACUGAGAACCCAAGAAAACAUACCAGAGCAAAGCCCACAAAGCCUUGUUAGAAAUAAACAAAUUGACCAGCUUAGUGAAAAACCAUUGACAAUGAGCAUGUGGUAUAUGCAUAAAGACAGGUUAAGUGCAGCAAAAAGUCUAAAGUUGAUUCUGUAGGCAACUGGCAGGUGGCUGCUGAAGGCGUCAGUGCUGGGAACUAAGUAUAUUUCCAUAAAAUUGAUCUGACAAGCCUAGGUACACAUUCGACAAAUCAGAGAGGAGAAGCAAAAAAGAAUGGCCAAUUGCACCGUUACUGCAGAAGUUCAAACUAAGGAGAGGAAGGGGGCUCUAACUAGUCCCUCAUGGAAGUCAGUGCCCACUGAGUUUCUUCCGGUACAAGGUUCCCUCCAAUCAUGGUGCUUGUGGAUAUGGGCAAGAAACAAGAAAAAUAAAUGAGGUCGUUUUAGAUUGUGACACAGUAAUAAGCAUGAUGAAGAACUGGGAAAGACCAGGGAAGGAAGGAGAGAGAACACUUAAAACAGGAGGGUUAAGGAGAAGAGACUGACGCAGGACUGCAGAGGGGACCAGUAAUGACAGCCUCAGGAAGAUGGUACAUUGCAAAGCAGGGAUCAAGGGCCAGAUGACACAUUUUGGGGCGUGUGUGGGCUACUGUUUGUGUAUCACAUGGUUACUCCCUUUGUAGCAAGGGAGUAAUCACAGGCAUCACACAAAUAAUCGGGUAUGGCUGUGGCUGAAUAUUUGCAAAAUGGAUAUCGGCCCACUGGGCAUAGCUUUCAGAUCCCACUCUUAAGGAGACAAAACUAAUUAUGUCGUCUAUGCCCACAUAUAUAAUAAUAUGAAACACAAGCUUAGGCAUAGAGGCGGGGGAGGAGACUGGACCUGUGAAGGCAGGUUGUCACUGAUUUAAUCCUUUUUGUUUUAUUGAAUUUUCUAGAAUGAGGAUAUAACCUGCUCUGACUUACUAAAUGGUUAUGAGAGGUCUAGAAACUUCUCGACUACACAGCGGGAACAUUUAGAGGCUGCAAAGUACUAAAAAUAGAAAAUUACACAAGUCUGGUUGCCAACCCACAGUCUAAUCAGCAACCUUGGAGAUAAAAGACGGGAGGGCUGUAGGAUGAGUUUAUUCUAACUGUAAAGAGGACGAACAGCCAUAACAGAUUGGGAGUAGAAGGUUCCAGAAGGACUUUCCUGGAGCCCUUCAGUAACAGGGUGGAAGGAGGCUUAAUGGUGCUGAAACUGGAAUCCCAUAAACAAAGGGCAGGGAGGCAGAUGAGGCUACCCAACAUUGUAGUGGAGUCGACCUCGAUGG